rnacentral:tRNA from 1 species
UUAAUUGAAACCAAAAUUUGAGGUAAAUCACUGUUAAUGAUUUUAUUGAGAACAAACUCCAAUUAAA